UGGAAAAUGCCAUAAUCUUCCUUUUACUUCUAUGCAUGGAGAAGUGGCAAAGACAGGGUUCUUUCUCCCAAGGUAAGGGACAUAACUGGGGAGGGAUGGUCUUUUGCUGACACAGCCACAUCCAGCCAAGCUGCUUGAUCAGAGCCCUGGAGCGAAUGCAGCCAGCCAGACAUCUAACAGUACCACAGUCUCUGUCACACUGAGCACUCUUGCCUUAAGCUUUUUAAUGGAUGGUUUAUGGUCCAAAUAAUUCUGAGCGGGAUUCUUUAAAAACAUGCUGUGUUGGUUUAACUUCCCAUUAAAACAAAAAUCCUUCUAAGACUUCAUGCAACCAGUAGGAGCAAAAUUAGGCCAAAGUCAAACACCUCUGAAAACCUGCCCUUCACACAUGCUGAGCAGGGCUGUGGUGGGAGAAGAGCAGUGGUUUACAUUUAGAUUGACCACUGCAGCGCCAGUUUGCUAACAUGAUUUUCUAAGGUGCCAUCUUUACAGAGCUGGGCUUUCUUUCCCUCCUUUUUUUUUUUUUUUUUUUUUCCCCUUUUGUUUUUUUUUCUGCUUUACUUUGAUAUUAUUUUUAAUGUGACUUUUUGGACCAGAGAAACAGUUAGCGUAGUGCUCUUUUGCAACUUGGCUCCAGCCAGUGUCUCUGGGUGAUACAAAAGCUAACAUUAUUUUGCAAUAACUCCCAUCCCGAUGCACAGUGUGAGUGCAGCCCUCUAACAGAGGAGCUCAGGAGUUUCCUACACUAAUUGUACCCCCGCCAGUUGCUGAUUUCCCCGCAGCAGCACAAGCCAGACUUUCUUACAGGCUGUUAAUAUUUUCCACUCCAAUACCCAGUGCCAAGUUCUCCCACGGCUUGCUACAAGUUUCCUGACAAGAUACGCUUUUAGCACGACGCACGGGGUAUUCAAGCAGGAAGCCGAGGCUGGGCUCCCCCCACCCCACUGGCUGGCACCCGAGGAGGGCCUGGGCAGUGAGGUGGGGAUGGCCUCCUAGGCCUUCCCAGCGAACCCCUCAGGCCAUGGCGGGCUUGCACGAGGAUGGCUGAAAUCAGAGGGCUGCUCGCUGAGGCCCACAGUUGUGCCACCACCCGGCCCGAGACACAACGACAUGACAUGACGUUUGCUGGGGAAAGCAGACAUGUGUGAUGCCAACAGCUGAGGGGGAAGCUGGGGCACGGCUCCAGGCAAGCGGUGGUGACUAAGCUGUGCCAGCCCCAAGGAGACCAGAGGACACAGUGACUCAGAGGCACACCUCUGGCUCCCCAUCCUUCCCUGGCGUCGUCCGGCGUGGAGGGGGGCCAGCCACAAACCGCAGAACACCCCCGUGUCUCCCUGGAGUGGGCACACACUUCUGCAGGGUGUCUGUACCCAGAAAGCCGCCCCUGGCCUCCUCUGCCCAUGUUUGGAGCCGCAGUGGGGCUGGGCAAGAGUGGGACAUGGCCAGCCCAAGGGAGAUGGCCCUGCCCUUUGGGACAGCCAAAAAGAGAGCUUGGAGCUGCCCCGGCCAAGGGAGCCCCACAGUUAAAAAAUGAUCUGGCAGGGGCAAGGAGACAGCAGAAAAUAUGUCUGUGCUGGCCAGGAGACAGAGGAAGGGACAAGUCGGUACUGCUACUUGAAACUAAAACAGGCCUAAUGCGCCAGUUUUGGGGGGCUCAGAAACAUGCCCUCCAAGAACUGUAUGGCUGCUGAUAAAGGCAGUAUGAGUCAUUUGAGUCCACUCAUUCUUACUGUAACAUGGAGGAAAAAGAAAAACUAAAAAGCCCCAAAAUCUGG